rnacentral:pre_miRNA from 1 species
GACUCCAAUUGAAAAAGUCAAGAAAAACAAAGUUGAAUAACUCAUCAAGAUCUACAACUUUUAUUUUGGUCAUUUUUUCAUCCGAUAAAGUGAUUAUAAUAUUGUUCACAAAUUCACAAAUCUCUCAUAGUGUUUCAUAUAACUAUAAGAGAGAUGAAAAAUUUGUGAAUAAUGUUCAUAUCAGUUUCUCGGAUAACGAAAUGAUCAAAAUAAAGUUGUAGAUUUUGAUGAGUUAUUCAACUUUGGUUUUCUUGACUUUUUCAUUUGAAGUC